rnacentral:rRNA from 1 species
AUUGAACGCUGGCGGCAGGCCUAACACAUGCAAGUCGAGCGGAUGACGGGAGCUUGCUCCUUGAUUCAGCGGCGGACGGGUGAGUAAUGCCUAGGAAUCUGCCUGGUAGUGGGGGACAACGUUUCGAAAGGAACGCUAAUACCGCAUACGUCCUACGGGAGAAAGCAGGGGACCUUCGGGCCUUGCGCUAUCAGAUGAGCCUAGGUCGGAUUAGCUAGUUGGUGGGGUAAUGGCUCACCAAGGCGACGAUCCGUAACUGGUCUGAGAGGAUGAUCAGUCACACUGGAACUGAGACACGGUCCAGACUCCUACGGGAGGCAGCAGUGGGGAAUAUUGGACAAUGGGCGAAAGCCUGAUCCAGCCAUGCCGCGUGUGUGAAGAAGGUCUUCGGACUGUAAAGCACUUUAAGUUGGGAGGAAGGGCAGUAAGUUAAUACCUUGCUGUUUUGACGUUACCGACAGAAUAAGCACCGGCUAACUCUGUGCCAGCCGCCGCGGUAAAAC